UCCUAUAAUCAUGUUAUUCUCUUGUGAACAAUACCUAAUGUACUUAUAUAACCUUGACAGUGAUAAAAAUCAGAUCCUUAAAAACACACAAAGAAACAGGGGCUUCAGACUAAUCCUCUCCAGAUGCUUUCUGCCUACAAGUCCCAUAAUUCCUUUCUAGCCAAUGAAUGGCAGAGAAUCAUGGGAAUUGCAGUUCAAAAACUUCUGUUCCCUGCAGUUUGACACGCCUAAUUAAGCUGUCUGUUACAAUUGGUAGACUUUUCGUGAACAUGCUCCCUGUUUUCAACAUUGUAAAAAUGUAGCAAGAACUAUUUUGUAACAAGUAGUUACAUGUAUUCAAUUUUAAAAGGGUAAAAUCUAAUCCAAACAAUUUAGAAAUUCGAUCAAGCUCUUGG